AGAGAAGACAGUAUUGUGAAAAACAAGGAUCGGCCAAACCAAAUGAAGACUCUCUAUGUGCUCGCCUGCCUUUUGGCCAUUGUCAUUCCUUUACAGGCAAGUAGCAGCAGCAGUGGAAGCCACGAAAGAAGGUAUUUUGGGCAACAUCGUCGACCAGCAGCGAGACCAUUGUAUCCAUAUUAUCCAAAUGCAUAUUAUCCAAAUGCAUAUUAUCCACACCCAUAUCCAUCAACAAAUGGUGGGCUUUGUUGGUGGCUAGUGUGGCCGCACAAUAGGUUUAUUUGCACUCCACCACAACCUGUACAGAUUGCUACGGCUGCACCAGCACAAACUUCAAUGGCGACACAAGCACGAACUUCUAUAGUGGUACAAGCACAAACUUCUACGGUGGCACAAACACAGACUUCAGCGACUGCACCAGAAGCUGUACCGACACCACCUGUACCUGGUCGUGGAGAUCAUUAAAUUGCUGUCUGGUCUUAGCAAGAUGAAACCUACUGAGAUCCUCCUCAGAUUCUCCACAGUCUUGUUUCUGGGUCCUUUUAAAGUAUAGUCAAUGGUCGACUGAAAUUUCCUUUCAGUGUAAUGUUUUCCCCUCGUUGGUUUCCAGCUUCGGGCUAUUCCCCCAUAAAUAAAUGUUUCCAGCAUCUA